rnacentral:lncRNA from 1 species
UUGCUCUCAAGACGUUUUUGAGAUGGCAGAGUUGACAUUUUGCUUUUAUUUCAUCCUCACAAGAUGUGAAAAAUUCACAAAUGGGACUUCUUGAAAGAAUCAAAACUUGAGAAGUAACUGAGAAGUAGAAGCAGCUCUUAACAAGCAUCAGGGGCUCAGAAGAGGUAGCUCUUCCCAGGGCAUCCAGCGGGCGAGCUGUUCCAUGUGCCUCUGAACCCAGCUUCCCACUUAGCAGCAGGUCUUGAGUGCACCUGGCAUACACCUGUGCAAUUCUCGUCAACACAGAACACCUGCCUGCCCACCCCCGGUGCUGAAGACCGACCAGUCAAGGAGGUGUUGGUGGGAGUGUUGUGUUCACCAUGUGGAGAUCAGGCGGCGAUUACCGCAUCUUCUUUGCUGACUUUGGUAACCGGGUGUCCAGGGAGGAGCGAUCGGGAGUGGCCAAGCAGUUGCCUGGACUCAGCUUCUGACUCUGCAGCUGGGAGUCAGAUGCAGGCCCAAGGGUCCAGGGGAGUUGUUCAGCGCCUGGAAUCGCCAUGCAUUGCGCGGUGGACCGCACGACGCUCCUGCUCUGUUCUCCCAGGCACAGACAGGCACUUGGAAGGCAGCUUUGCUCCUCUGGCCACCCGGAAACCUCCCAGCAGUUCAGAUGGGACAAACUGGGGGCCUGUCAGAACAGCCACUUGUGCCGGGAAGGCCAGGCCCCGGCCUGCUCCGAUGAACGUCAGGACGGUGGCUGCAGCAGGGAACCAGGGCUGGCCUUGGAUCUGUCCAGUAGGGUCACUGACUGGGCAGGGCUUGCUGCAUAGAGGAUGGCUGCAUUUUGUGCUCAGAGUUGGUUGAAAUGGCUACGAAGUGUGGAGAAUAACCACUGAAUCCCAAAAAGUCACUGCGCUUGAUCUGAUCCAAGUAACAGUGACUGCAGUUAGGGUCGAGAGCUUCUCCGAAGCAGCGGUCAUGCAGGCUUUUGUGUGGCUGACGCUUCCCUUUUUCACAACAGUAAAAAGCUAUCAAUGGGAAAUUGUGGACUUUUCCCACCAGGGACUCAAUGGGGACUCAAUGUGCAAUAUUCAGUCAACAUAAAACUCUUUAAGAACUCCUCCUGACUGGUGACUGUCAACACUUGAUCUGAAACGUGAAUAGUUUAAUUUUCCUGAGCAAGGAGCUGCGAGUCUAGCUUUAGAAAAGCCCCUAGGAGUGUCCACCUCCACCACUUCCACCGUGCAGGCAGGUUUCAGGUGGGUUGGACCCUGUGGGACUUGCCGUCUGAGGGAUGGAUGGACUCCGAGCACCCUCCCCGGCUCAGCACCCGCGGCCUCCGCCCACUCAAUGGACUGUGCCUCCCAGAGCUUGGGCUGGAUGGUCUCCCUGCAGAGGACCAGGAGCUCUGUCCAAGGCCUCGCCCUGGGACGCUGGAAGGGGUGGGAAGGGUCAGGGGUCCGGGGUCUAGGACAGGCUCAGGGGUCUCAGCAGGUUCUCCUUGGAGGGCCUGAGCCUGGUAGGGGGGCGGUGCCCUGGGCCCCUCCAUGCCCCCUGGUUUGUUAAGGGGGACAGAGCAGCUGCUGGGCCCCACCAUCCACUUAAGGACUGGCCGUGAUUCUUGGCAAGCUCCGCCCGCCAGGCCACCUCUCACCCAGCCAGGGCACCCCGGGCGACCUCCGCGCCAGGUGCGACAGCUCAGGCCGGAGACCUCGUCUGUGGGGACGGGCCGUGUCCGGGGCCGCCACCCUGAGACCGGGCGCGGGCAGGACGGAACCUGGGGGGGAAACGGGGCAGGUACUGGCUUUAGGAGUCUAAAUCCCCAAACGCUGAGCAGACGGAAGACGUUCCUGCCACUUUACCUGCAGUUCAAAGACCUGGCGAGGGCCUGGAAACGGCGCUCGGCCCAGGCCGCUUGCGGGCGCUGGGCCUGCAGCCGCUGCAGGUCGGGCCCUGAGUCCUGGCGCUCGGGAGGUCCCUGAGUCGGUCCCCGAGUCAGUCCCCGGGCGCGGGGCUCGGUUGGGGGGGCCCGGAACCUUGGGCUGGUUUCACGCAAAUCCGUUUGGGGCGAGCCUCGGUUUCCCGGCAGCGGUGGGAAAGGGCGCGAGCGGCCAGCCAUGGCGCGCGGACCCUUCCCGCCGGCGGCGUCACAGCGGCGUCUCCUCCU